GAUGAACGCUGGCGGCGUGCCUAAUACACGCAAGUCGAGCGAACAGACGAGGAGCUUGCUCCUCUGACGUUAGCGGCGGACGGGCGAGUAACACGUGGAUAACCUACCUAUAAGACUGGGAUAACUUCGGGAAACCGGAGCUAAUACCGGAUAACAUGUUGAACCGCAUGGUUCAACAGUGAAAGACGGUCUUGCUGUCACUUAUAGAUGGAUCCGCGCCGCAUUAGCUAGUUGGUAAGGUAACGGCUUACCAAGGCAACGAUGCGUAGCCGACCUGAGAGGGUGAUCGGCCACACUGGAACUGAGACACGGUCCAGACUCCUACGGGAGGCAGCAGUAGGGAAUCUUCCGCAAUGGGCGAAAGCCUGACGGAGCAACGCCGCGUGAGUGAUGAAGGUCUUCGGAUCGUAAAACUCUGUUAUUAGGGAAGAACAAAUGUGUAAGUAACUAUGCACGUCUUGACGGUACCUAAUCAGAAAGCCACGGCUAACUACGUG
rnacentral:rRNA from 1 species